CGUGAGGAACAGUGGGGCAAAUUCAAUGACCUAAGCUAGAUUAAAGUGUGAGGUGAGAAUAUUCUCUGUGAAUUUCAGAGGUUGUUGAAAAUGGAGAUGAGGGAGAGUAUAGGGGAGUUAAGCGGGAAUUCAAUGAAGAGAAGGGAAGGUAGUUGGGUCAGGGGUAAUUAGGUAAUUUCGGAUGGUCAAAUUGGAGGGAAAGGGAGAAAGUGGGACCCACUCACCGGAGAUUCUUGCCGGAAAUUUAAGAGUAGUAGUGCUACUCUAACUUUUUACUAGUUUGUGGUAGUUGUUUUUAAAUUUUUUUUAAAAAGGUAAUUGUUUUCAAAACAGAGACUUAAAUUGGUAGUUGUUGACAAAAUUUCCUAUAUAAAUAGGACCAAGUUAUAAUGAGAACCUCUCCUGUAAUAAGAGCUAGGAACUAAUAUCAGCCAUCAAAUUAUAAUAAAAUGGACUGCUAAGAUUAAAUCAAAAAUAUUAAUUCCUUCCCAAAAAUUGAGAGCGUCAUUUCUCUCUCUACAUUCAAAUAAGCCCAUUUUCUCUCUCCUCUCUCAAUAACAACAUUUGAACUCUUCACAUUUGAUCGUUGAAGCUCAAAUCUUAUCAAUUCAACGCGAAUUUUUGAAAUUCAUGUUGCUGAAACUCAUCAUCGUCUUGAAAUCUACAAUUUGAACCCAGAUUUGUGUAAUUUUUCGAUACAAAUUAGAUUCUGUCAAAUGUGCAAAUGAAAAAUUGAGAUUCGAAGACUACAUUUUAAAUUUGGGGGUUUUGGGGCGAUUUUAUUGGAGAUUCGAAGACUACAUUUUAAUUUUUAAAUUUGGGGAUUUGCUGAAAGAUUUCUUUCACAAAGCUUAGUUCUCACUCAAUCUGUAAAUUCGAGCUCAAAAUCAGGUAUUAAUUGGUAAAUUUUGUUGGGUUUUUAUUUAUUUAUUUAUUUUUUUAUUUUAAUGAAUGGUGGAGUUUGAACUUGUGAGAAUUUUCUAGUAUCUUGUUCUUGUUCUUGGUGUUUAUGUUCUUUGUAAAUUUUGGAUGCUACUUGUAUAAUAAUGAAUGGUGGAGUUUGAACUUGUGAGAAUUUUCUAGUAUCUUGUUCUUGUUCUUGGUGUUUAUGUUCUUUGUAAAUUUUGGAUGCUACUUGUAUAAUUUGGUGACUAAAUGUGUUAAAGUAUACUUCAACUAUGCUAAUGUAAAUUAAAUCACUUUAAAAGUAAAUUAAUUCAUUGGUAGGGAGUGGGUUAAAUCCUGAAUUUUACAACGCAUAUCGAUUGUCCACUCCCUUAAGAUUAAUAUUGCACUAUUACAACAAUGCAUCUACUCCUCAACAAUGUGCUUCCUUUUGCUUUAUUGUAGCGGAUGUUUUAUUAUUGGAAAAAAAUUGAUACAAAAUAAGCAAUAAGUCUGGUGUGCAAUCUAUUUUACUGGAUAUGGUUGUGAUCAAUCUAGUCUAGCUUUGGUGGCAAUUAAAUUAGCUAAGGUAGAAUUAAAUGUUGGUCUUGUUGGUCUUGAUCAUCCAUUUUUGAAUAGCUACAGCCUUUAAGAAGAUGAUUUUGAGGCAAUUUUGUUCAUCCGAAUGCUAAUUCAUGUUGAUCAUUUGAGUUUUAUUUAUCUUUUUUAUUUUGAGUUGUUUUUGUCUUGUUUUUGACGUGGGACGUAUAGCGCGAUCACAGUAAACAAGAGGUAGUUUUGUUUUGUAUGUUAGUUGAUCUUAGGUAAGUCAUAAUGGCUUCUUGUGACUGGGAAAGGAGAGACUAUGUUUGUGGGUGGGAUUGUGUGAUUUGGGAAGUAAAGUAAUUAUUGACUAAGAAAAUGUGCUGGAAUUCAUGGGUACUUUAGUUUUAUCAACCCAACCUCUUAACACAAUCUUAUUCUAACCUUUGAUGUUUUUCUUAACCAUAUUUCCUUGAAGAUAUGUCUGAGAUUGAUGAGAGGCAGCUAGUUUUAUAUGCACAAAUGGCCAAUCUUGUUAGUGUGAUACUUCAGUGGCUAGCCUGAAACAAAAAGAAGUUGCAGAGAACUUUUCCAAGGUAUUCUAUUGAAACUUACAGUCGCUAAAUGUAAUCGUUGGAGUGUACGCAUUGCCCUGGAUGUGCUCUUACAUUGAUAUCUUGAUUUAAUAAAGCUUAGACUUCCAGUCAUUCGGUAGCCAAUCUAUGCAAAAAAAAAAAAAAAAAAAAAAAAAAAAAAAAAAAAAAAAAAAAA